UAGGGUUACUCCAAGGCCUUGCACCAAGGAUCUCAGCAUCCCAAUUUUACUCCAAGGCCUUGCAUUAAGGAUCUCAGCAUCCCAGGGUUACUCCAAGGCUUUGCACCAAGGAUCUCAGCAUCCCAGGCUUACUCCAAGGCCUUGCACCAAGGAUCUCAGCAUCCCAGGGUUACUCCAAGGCCUUGCACCAAGGAUCUCAGCAUCCCAGGGUUACUCCAAGGCUUUGCAUUAAGGAUCUCAGCAUCCCAAGGUUACUCCAAGGCCUUGCACCAAGGAUCUCAGCAUCCCAGUGUUACUCCAAGGCCUUGCACCAAGGAUCUCAGCAUCCCAGGGUUACUCCAAGGCCUUACACCAAGGAUCUCAGCAUCCCAGGGUUACUCCAAGGCCUUGCACCAAGGAUCUCAGCAUCCCAAUUUUACUCCAAGGCCUUGCAUUAAGGAUCUCAGCAUCCCAGGGUUACUCCAAGGCUUUGCACCAAGGAUCUCAGCAUCCCAGGCUUACUCCAAGGCCUUGCACCAAGGAUCUCAGCAUCCCAGGCUUACUCCAAGGCCUUGCAUUAAGGAUCUCAGCAUCCCAGGGUUACUCCAAGGCUUUGCAUUAAGGAUCUCAGCAUCCCAAGGUUACUCCAAGGCCUUGCACCAAGGAUCUCAGCAUCCCAGGGUUACUCCAAGGCCUUACACCAAGGAUCUCAGCAUCCCAGGGUUACUCCAAGGCCUUGCAUUAAGGAUCUCAGCAUCCCAGGCUUACUCCAAGGCCUUAUACCAAGGAUCUCAGCAUCCCAGGCUUACUCCAAGGCCUUGCAUUAAGGAUCUCAGCAUCCCAGGGUUACUCCAAGGCCUUGCACCAAGGAUCUCAGCAUCCCAGGGUUACUCCAAGGCCUUGCAUUAAGGAUCUCAGCAUCCCAGGGUUACUCCAAGGCCUUGCAUUAAGGAUCUCAGCACCCCAGGGUUACUCCAAGGCCUUGCAUUAAGGAUCUCAGCAUCCCAAGGUUACUCCAAGGCCUUGCACCAAGGAUCUCAGCAUCCCAAGGUUACUCCAAGGCCUUGCACCAAGGAUCUCAGCAUCCCAGGGUUACUCCAAGGCCUUGCAUUAAGGAUCUCAGCAUCCCAGGGUUACUCCAAGGCCUUGCAUUAAGGAUCUCAGCAUCCCAGGGUUACUCCAAGGCCUUGCAUUAAGGAUCUCAGCAUCCCAGGGUUACUCCAAGGCCUUGCAUUAAGGAUCUCAGCAUCCCAAGGUUACUCCAAGGCCUUACACCAAGGAUCUCAGCAUCCCAGGGUUACUCCAAGGCCUUGCACCAAGGAUCUCAGCAUCCCAGGGUUACUCCAAGGCCUUACACCAAGGAUCUCAACAUCCCAGGGUUACUCCAAGGCCUUGCACCAAGGAUCUCAGCAUCCCAGGGUUACUUCAAGGCCUUGCAUUAAGGAUCUCAGCAUCCCAGGGUUACUCCAAGGCCUUGCAUUAAGGAUCUCAGCAUCCCAGGGUUACUUCAAGGCCUUGCAUUAAGGAUCUCAGCAUCCCAGGGUUACUCCAAGGCCUUACACCAAGGAUCUCAGCAUCCCAGCGUUACUCCAAGGCUUUGCACCAAGGAUCUCAGCAUCCCAAGGUUACUCCAAGGCCUUACACCAAGGAUCUCAGCAUCCCAAGGUUACUCCAAGGCCUUGCACCAAGGAUCUCAGCAUCCCAGGGUUACUCCAAGGCCUUGCACCAAGGAUCUCA